GAGCGCGUUGGGCGCGUGGUCCAGGCGGCGGCUUUCGGCCGCCGCAGCGGUUGCCACCAGGAUCUCGCCUGGGCGCGUUCG
rnacentral:tRNA from 1 species